AUUGAACCGCUAGCUGGGAUGCUUUACACAUGCAAGUCGAACGGCAGCGCGAACUUCGGUUUGGCGGCGAGUGGCGAACGGGUGAGUAAUAUAUCGGAACGUACCCAGUAGCGGGGGAUAACUACUCGAAAGAGUAGCUAAUACCGCAUACGCCCUACGGGGGAAAGGGGGGGAUCGCAAGACCUCUCACUAUUGGAGCGGCCGAUAUCGGAUUAGCUAGUUGGUGGGGUAAAAGCCCACCAAGGCGACGAUCCGUAGCUGGUUUGAGAGGACGACCAGCCACACUGGGACUGAGACACGGCCCAGACUCCUACGGGAGGCAGCAGUGGGGAAUUUUGGACAAUGGGGGAAACCCUGAUCCAGCCAUCCCGCGUGUGCGAUGAAGGCCUUCGGGUUGUAAAGCACUUUUGGCAGGAAAGAAAUCGCAUGGGUUAAUAACCUGUGUGGAUGACGGUACCUGCAGAAUAAGCACCGGCUAACUACGUGCCAGCAGCCGCGGUAAUACGUAGGGUGCAAGCGUUAAUCGGAAUUACUGGGCGUAAAGCGUGCGCAGGCGGUUCGGAAAGAAAGAUGUGAAAUCCCAGGGCUUAACCUUGGAACUGCAUUUUUAACUACCGAGCUAGAGUAUGUCAGAGGGGGGUGGAUUCGCGUGUAGCAGUGAAAUGCGUAG
rnacentral:rRNA from 1 species